GACAGAGGGUGCAAACGUUGUUCGGAUUUACUGGGCGUAAAGCGUGUGUAGGCGGCUUUGUAUGUCGGAUGUGAAAGCCCACGGCUCAACCGUGGAAGUGCAUCCGAAACUGCAUAGCUUGAGUCCCGGAGAGGAAGGUGGAAUGCUUGGUGUAGAGGUGAAAUUCGUAGAUAUCAAGCAGAACACCUGCGGCGAAGGCGGCCUUCUGGACGGUGACUGACGCUGAGACACGAAAGCGUGGGGAGCAAACAGG
rnacentral:rRNA from 1 species